CCAAUACGGACGUGUUUUUAUGCGCUCUGAAAAAAGUUUUGACUUUUAAAUUUUUUUUACUACGACAGAAUCUUAGUUGACUGAUGGUCUUUGACAAAGACAGACUUGUUUUUGUGAGCUCUGAAAAAAAUUUGACUUUGAAAUAUUUUUACGAUUAAAAAGUUUCAGUUGACUUUUGAACGUUGACGAAGACGGACGUACUUUCGUGAGCUCUGACUAUUGAUGAAAAGUUUUCGCGUUAUAGAAUAGCGACUUGGUACUCAGGUUGUUGAAUGACUGGAUGACUGAAGUGUUAGGUUAUUGUUAUGAGAUAACAACUUGACUUUGACUUGAGUUGUGAAAUGAAAUCAUACUCUUAUGCGAUGUUAACUUUUGAACGUUUAGUAUUGACUGACAACGAACUUUUGUGAGCGUUAUAUAUGAAAUGUUUGACUUACAUUAAUUUUUUUGAACGACUUGACUUCACUUUAAGUUUUGACAUCGGACUGAUCGGACGUGUUUUUUUAAGCCCUGACUGUUGUGAAUAAUUAAAUUUAUGUUGUGGUGUCAAGCGAUUGACUGUCAGUUGAGGUUCAGAUGUCGAGCUGUGCGGACGUGUUCAUCGAGCUGCUGUCUACAAAAAACGUGAGUACAAUUUUUUUUCGUUUUACUGUUUACAAGUUGCGUGAUGAUGUAUGAUGGUUGUAAUGUGUUGGGUAGAAAUUACUCAGUGCUGAUACAGUGUCGAUAUGUUGUGAUGAGCGAUAAUAGUGGAUGAUGGUGGAACAGAAUAUUCAUUGAGCUAUUUUGAGGAAGCGAACAUAUGAUGGAAAAAUGUUGCAAAAAUAUUAAAUGACAAUGUAUUGAAUCGCUUUUGUUGAUAUGUAUGAUAUUGAUUAAAUUGUAUUUGCAUGCUGUAACAUUUCUAUUCCAUUUCAGGGGGCUGUGGUGAGUAUUGUAGUAUAAAUUUGUUUCAAUAAAUCAUGAUGAAUGAAAACUGAUUUUGAUUCGUUUUGUACAGGUUUACUUGUAUAGAAGUAUAAUGCGUUGGGUAGAAAUUAGAAUCUACUCAGUACUGAUAUAGUGUCGAUAUGUUGUGAUUAGCGAUGAUGGUGUAUGAUGGUGGAACAGAAUAUGAGCUACUUUGGGGAAACGAACAUAUGAUUGAAAAAAAUUUGCAAACAUAGUAGAUAAAUGAUAUGAUAUUGCUUAAAUUGUAUUUGCAUGCUGUAACAUUUCUAUUUCAUUUCAGGGUGCUGUGGUGAGUACUGUAGAUUGUAGUGCAUAUGUAUAGAAUUCAAUAAAAGAUUAUGACUGAAAACUGCUUUUGAUUCUUUUUGAACAGUUUUAGGGACUAUAAGUCUAUAACAAAAAUAUGUCGGUUGGCGUUCAUACAGCAAUGUUUUGAGUAGUACAGAAAUGUUUCUACGUUUGUGGUCGCCAGUUGUCUGUGAUGUGUAAAGUGAAAAAUACACGGAGCUUUGAAUACAACAAACAUUUACUGUUUUAACACAGAUUGUGUGCUAUGCAUUUUUCGAUGUAGAUCUUUUUCAGAUUUGACAUGAAAUGUAGACCUGACAUUUGAACAGAGCUGGGAAACGAAAAGGUAAGUUUGUUAAAUUUCACAAUGAACACUUGUGUUUUGACAAAAGAAGAGAUAAAGUGAGUUUUGUCAUCAUCAUGGUUUCUUUCAGAGUAUAACUCGUGAACAGAUGAAAACCUAUUUUUUGCUAGAUUUUCAUGUACUCUUUUUUUGGAUGAUAAGUAUGUCAGUAACUCAAAAUCAUACGGCUAGUACAGUAUGGAACAUGAAUGCUUUGUUCAGAUUUUCAGAUGUGUGCUGGCAGUUUAAGUCUGGCAGCUGAAGUGAACAGUCGUGAUUUCUGGAGCUCCAACAAGAUGCUAGAAGGAGUGCUUAUCCAGUGAUGAUAUGACAGUUGGAGUGAACAGUGGAGCCAAGCAGUCUUGUUUUUGGAGCUACUCAACAAGCCUUGAAGAUGCUGAUGGCAGUGAUGGGUUUUCAAGCUGACCUGAACAGAAAAGCACUCAUAUGGUAAGUACAAAAUAGUUGUUAUAUGGGAUGUUUUGUGCAUGCUUUUAUGUUUCAGGUGUACUUGCAGUUAGAGACGAAGACGAUUCAAGAAGAGGACCAUAGGUCAGAAAGUGGAUGGAACAUACAAAGGGUAAGUUGAACCUGUGUUUUUGUUUGAUUUUUACCAUGCAUACUUUGCUUUGCUCUGUUUCAG